CGGGACUUUAGGUCACAGAGAAGAGAGGAGAUGAAUCUAGGCACAAGGAGAGAGAUGCCAGAGGACACAGAGGGGAAGCAGGAGGUGCAAGACGGAAGAGAGAGCAAGGGGACCAGACACCAAUAAAAACUAAUGGCCCAGAUGAUCCAGCAUCUCCGAACACCCCUAUUGCAGUUUCCUCUGAGUUCUGCAUCCAAAACAACUUCAAGGCUUCUGACUGAGAUAAUAUACCCUCAGAGACUACUCCAGCCAGGACUGGACAAUAAUCCUGAUUUCCUCAGGGUCCUCCAAAGAUGCCAGCACCCGAAGACAACAAGACACAGUCUAGAGAAAACAAUGCCUACAUUCCCAAAAAUGGGUUUCGAAUGUGUGUCAUCAUUUAAGGAAGGGCGGUGGUGGCGCACGCCUUUAACGCCUUUAAUCCCAGCACUCGGGAGGCAG